AUUGAACGCUGGCGGCAGGCCUAACACAUGCAAGUCGAGCGAGCGGCGGACGGGUGAGUAAUGUAUGGGGACUGCCCGAUAGAGGGGGAUAACUACUAGAAACGGUGGCUAAUACCGCAUACUAACGGACACCCCAUAUGGGAUUAGCUAGUAGGUGGGGUAAAGGCGCACCUAGGAGACGAUCUCUAGCUGGUCUGAGAGGAUGAUCAGCCACAAGGGGACGGAGACACGGCCCAGAAUCCUACGGAGGAAGCAGUGGGGAAGAGUGAACAAUGGGCGCAAGCCUGAUGCAGCCAUGCCGCGUGUAUGAAGAAGGCCUGAGGGUUGUAAAGGACUUUCAGCGGGGAGGCGUUACCCGCAGAAGAAGCACCGGCUAACUCCGUGCCAGCAGCCGCGGUAAUAC
rnacentral:rRNA from 1 species